GGAAAUCGUAAUCUUUUUGGUAGAUUGUUGGAUGAUUUUCCAAAUGGUUAGCCGAGUUGUAAAUAAGUUAUAUCUACUUAUAACAGCGAUUGAUGAAGCAAACGUCACUAUGGGGGACUUGAGCCUUGUUUUCUAUACUUCUAGUUCAUUGGUUUUCAACCGGGGUUCCGCGGCACCCUAGGAUUCCCCCUAGUUCAGUCCAAGGCAAUUCUACAUUAACAUUUUCUAAAAAAAUCAAAUGUCUGUUAGAUUUGCCACUAUUACUGAACUCGCUACACUAAACUGUGGUAUUAUAGAGAUUUUUUAGAUAGCCAUCCUACCCAAUUCGCCAAUUGGAAUGUUCUCUCGAUAAUGUGGCGUAGAACAGAACGAAACUGGAUUGGUCUAGUGUUCUAGUCGUUCUAAUCUAGCCCAGUGGCGGCUGGCCAGAAAAAAAUAACACAUUUAUGUUGGACGUUCAAUUGUAUCUGAUGAUGAUACUGCUCAGAAUGGUCCACAAACUUGUUAUCAAGAGUUAGAGUGGAGAGAAGAUCACAGCCCUUCACGUGAAAAGCAAUAAAUUAAAAGUUUCAUUUCACGAAGCCGAAGAAGGCUUUUUCACAUCGGAUAU